GACGAACGCUGGCGGCGUGCUUAACACAUGCAAGUCGAACGGAAAGGCCCUGCUUGCAGGGUACUCGAGUGGCGAACGGGUGAGUAACACGUGGGUGAUCUGCCCUGCACUUCGGGAUAAGCUUGGGAAACUGGGUCUAAUACCGGAUAGGAGCCAUCUUUAGUGUGGUGGUUGGAAAGUUUUUUCGGUGUAGGAUGAGCUCGCGGCCUAUCAGCUUGUUGGUGGGGUAAUGGCCUACCAAGGCGGCGACGGGUAGCCGGCCUGAGAGGGUGUACGGCCACAUUGGGACUGAGAUACGGCCCAGACCCCUACGGGAGGCAGCAGGGGGGAAUAUUGCAAAAUGGGCGCAAGCCUGAUGCAGCGACGCCGCGUGGGGGAUGAAGGCCUUCGGGUUGUAAACCCCUUUCGCUAGGGACGAAGCUUUUUGGGCCGGUACCAAGAAAAGAAGCCCCGGCGAAUUACGU
rnacentral:rRNA from 1 species